CCCGAACCUCCUCCAUCCACGUGGGCCCACUUUAUCAAUUUUUUCGAUCGCUUUCUUCAUUGUGGAACAUUCUCUUUCCAGCUGACGCACCCGCGUCCUCAUGCUAUCCAUGUCUAGUCGCAGCACUUGAUNNNNNNNCACGUAUUGCUGCUGUCCUGUGCCUCCUCCGCCACCGCCGUAGCAGCAGCCGAGACUGCUCCCUCUUCUACUCCUUCCUGUUCAGCAAAAUCCUGCGGCGCCGCAUCUGCCGCAAUCAAUGUCCCGGCUAUAGCAUGGCGGAGUUGUAACUGCUCGAAAAACAAAACUUGAACCACCGCCCGAAGCGGAAGCCGCUCAUUCUGUGCCGCGUGCGUGCACGCUUCUAAAGUUAGCUUUUGACAGUCCAUCACUCCACAAAUCUUCUCCCUCUCUGCCUCUGAUAUCCAUGGAUGCGCCUUCAGAUAGACGUCGACGGCUCUGUAG
rnacentral:misc_RNA from 1 species